UGGGGAAUAUUGGACAAUGGGCGCAAGCCUGAUCCAGCAAUGCCGCGUGUGUGAAGAAGGCCUUCGGGUUGUAAAGCACUUUUAUCAGGAGCGAAACGCUGUCGGCUAAUACCCGGCGGAACUGACGGUACCUGAGGAAUAAGCACCGGCUAACUUCGUGCCAGCAGCCGCGGUAAUACGAAGGGUGCAAGCGUUAAUCGGAAUUACUGGGCGUAAAGCGUGCGUAGGCGGUUUCUUAAGUCUGCUGUGAAAUCCCCGGGCUCAACCUGGGAAUGGCAGUGGAUACUGGGAGGCUAGAGUGUGUCAGAGGGUGGUGGAAUUCCCGGUGUAGCGGUGAAAUGCGUAGAGAUCGGGAGGAACAUCAGUGGCGAAGGCGGCCACCUGGGACAACACUGACGCUGAGGCACGAAAGCGUGGGGAGCAAACAGGAUUAGAUACCCUGGUAGUCCACGCCCUAAAGCGAUGCGAACUGGAUGUUGGUCUCAACUCGGAGAUCAGUGUCGAAGCUAACGCGUUAAGUUC
rnacentral:rRNA from 1 species